rnacentral:tRNA from 1 species
GGAAUGAUAGCUCAGUUGGUAGAGCAACGCACUAGUAACGCGGAGGUCAUGGGUUCAAAUCCCGUUGAAGCCA